AAUAGUUUUAUAUUUUUAGUUUUUGGACUUUUCUUUUACGUGAAAAAUGACUGGUGUGAACUGCUCUUUAAAAAUAAUACGGAGAAUCCUGAGUGCAGGAGACAGUAUAGUGAUAACUUCCUGAAGGUUGGAGGGAGUCCAGAUAAUUACACUAAACCAACACAAAAACACAAGAAGAUUCUGCGUGGGAGAAAAACAUAGCGGAUCUAACGUAUAUACGUGGAUCUAGUAUAUACACGGAUCUGGUGUAUACGCGGAUAUGGUAUGUACGCGGAUCUAGUGUAUAUGCGGAUCUAGUUUAUACGCGGAUCUAGUGUAUACGUGGAUCUAGUGUCUACGCGGGUCAAGUUUAUACGCAGAUCUGAUAUAUAUAAUUUGUAGAUAUGGCAACAGCGUACCAAUUUCAAUUGGUUUUAAUGAAGGUUUAAAAUCUCAGAAAAUUGGACCUAGUAUAUACGCAGAUCUAGUAUAUACGCGGAUCUUGUAUAAAUGUGGAUCUAGUAUAUACGCGGAUCUUGUAUAAAUAUGGAUCUAGUAUAUACGCGGAUCUUGUAUAAAUAUGGAUCUAGUAUAUACGCGGAUCUUGUAUAAAUAUGGAUCUAGUUUAUACGCGGAUGUUGUAUAAAUAUGGAUCUAGUAUAUACGCGGAUCUUGUACAAAUAUGGAUCUAGUAUAUACGCAGAUCUUGUAUAAAUGUGGAUUAAGUAUAUAGCGGAUCUUGUAUAAAUAUGGAUCUAGUAUAUACGCGGAUCUUGUAUAAAUGUGAAUCUAGUAUAUACGCGGAUCUUUUACAAAUAUGUAUCUAGUUUAUACGCGGAUCUUGUACAAAUAUGGAUCUAGUUUAUACGCGGAUGUUGUAUAAAUGUGGAUCUAGUAUAUACGCGAAUCAUAAGAAUAGCCAUAUCUAGUAUAUACGCGGAGCUAAAGCGUACACUAUGGAAUAAAAUUUAUUGCAGUAUUUACAAAUGGUCGUCUAUGGAAGUAAUAAUGAAUGUAUAAAAAUUUGUAUUGAAAAUAUUAUUUAAAUAAUUCUGGUUUUUGUUGUAAAAAGCACAGAAAGCACUUUUAAAGG